CCUACGGGUGGCAGCAGUGAGGAAUAUUGGUCAAUGGACGAGAGUCUGAACCAGCCAUGUAGCGUGAAGGAUGACUGCCCUAUGGGUUGUAAACUUCUUUUAUAAAGGAAUAAAACGAGGCACGUGUGCCUUUUUGCAUGUACUUUAUGAAUAAGGAUCGGCUAACUCCGUGCCAGCAGCCGCGGUAAGACGGAGGAUCCGAGCGUUAUCCGGAUUUAUUGGGUUUAAAGGGAGCGUAGAUGGGUUGUUAAGUCAGUUGUGAAAGUUUGCGGCUCAACCGUCAAAUUGCAAGUGAUACUGGCAGUCUUGAGUACAGUUGAGGUAGGCGGAAUUCGUGGUGUAGCGGUGAAAUGCUUAGAUAUCACGAAGAACCCCGAUUGCGAAGGCAGCUUACUAAACUGUGACUGACAUUGAUGCUCGAAAGUGUGGGUAGCAAACAGGAGUAGAUACCCCGGUAGUC
rnacentral:rRNA from 1 species